UACGGAGGGGACUAGCGUUGUUCGGAAUUACUGGGCGUAAAGCGCACGUAGGCGGAUUUGUAAGUCAGGGGUGAAAAUCCCGGGGCUCAACCUCGGAACUGCCUUUUGAUACUGCAAAAUCUCGAGUCCGGAAGAGGUGAGUGGAAUUCCUAGUGUAGAGGUGAAAUUCGUAGAUAUUAGGAAGAACACCAGUGGCGAAGGCGGCUCACUGGUCCGGUACUGACGCUGAGGUGCGAAAGCGUGGGGGAGCAAACAGG
rnacentral:rRNA from 1 species